rnacentral:rRNA from 1 species
UACGGAGGGUGCAAGCGUUAAUCGGAAUUACUGGGCGUAAAGCGUGCGCAGGCGGUUUGUUAAGUCUGCUGUGAAAUCCCCCGAGCUCAACUUGGGAAUUGCAGUGGAUACUGGCAGGCUGGAGUAUGGUAGAGGAAGGUGGAAUUCCCGGUGUAGCAGUGAAAUGCGUAGAGAUCGGGAGGAACACCAGUGGCGAAGGCGGCCUCUGGACCAAUACUGACGCUCAUGCACGAAAGCGUGGGGAGCAAACAGG